UACGAAGGGGGCUAGCGUUGUUCGGAUUACUGGGCGUAAAGCGCACGUUAGGCGGAUUGUUAAGUCGGGGGUGAAAUCCUGGAGCUCAACUCCAGAAUUGCCUUCGAUACUGGCUUUCUAGAGGCUGGAAGGAGGUUAGUGGAAUUCCCAGUGUAGAGGUGAAAUUCGUAGAUAUUGGGAAGAACACCGAGUGGCGAAGG
rnacentral:rRNA from 1 species